UACGAGGGGGGCUAAUGUUGCUCGGAAUCACUGGGCGUAAAGGGCGCGUAGGCGGCCAUUCAAGUCAGAGGUGAAAGCCCAAGGCUCAACCUUGGAACUGCCUUUGAUACUGGUUGGCUUGAGACCGGUAGAGGUAAGUGGAACUGCGAGUGUAGAGGUGAAAUUCGUAGAUAUUCGCAAGAACACCAGUGGCGAAGGCGGCUUACUGGACCGGUUCUGACGCUGAGGCGCGAAAGCGUGGGGAGCAAACAGG
rnacentral:rRNA from 1 species